UUAUAAGCUAUAAAAUAAAAGUUCAAUAUCAUUUUUUUUUUUUUUUUGAUAAUGAAGCACUGGUAACGUUGAGUUACAUGUCGUCAUAACUUUCAUUUGCCGUUGUCUCGUAACACACAGGUACUAUUGUGUCCAGUAGCAAUCCGUAAGCUACACCUGUCAUCACCGGGAAAGAUUAUUGCUCCUCAUAAUUUAGAGACCUGUUAUGGUCCCAAAUAGUAUUACUUGUUAGGUUUUCUAAUGGCCAAUUGAUUGCACUGGCAAAAUUUUGCUUUACCAUAUCAAGUGGCGUGCUAGCUAUAUUGACACUAAUAGAUGCAUUUAAAUCUUUAAAUAAUAUAAUAAUGAUAAACAUUUAAGAAUAUUGUAAUAUUUCAUGUUAUAGUCAAGUUUUCCAUAAAAUAUUUUUUUUUUUUCAAAAAAAUGGUUUUUAUAGAUUAUAUAGAUUAUUUU